rnacentral:rRNA from 1 species
GGACCCCACUGCUAUCGGGAUGGGACUAAGACAUGCUAGUCGUGCGCUUCCAAGCCACGGUGGAGGCGCGGCGCACAGCUCAGUAACACGUGGCUAAACCUACCCUUGGGACAGGGACAACUCCGGGAAACUGGAGCUAAUCCCUGAUAGGUGAAGACUCCUGGAAUGGGUCUUCGCCCAAAAGGCGUCUAAACCAUGCUUUUAGGCGCCGCCCAAGGAUGGGCCGCGGCCGAUCAGGUUGUUGGUGAGGUAACGGCUCACCAAGCCUAUAACCGGUACGGGCCGUGGGAGCGGGAGCCCGGAGAUGGGCACUGGGACAAGGGCCCAGGCCCUACGGGGCGCAGCAGGCGCGAUG